rnacentral:rRNA from 1 species
GCAACGGAUAUCUCGGCUCACGCA